rnacentral:rRNA from 1 species
CCUACGGGUGGCAGCAGUGAGGAAUAUUGGUCAAUGGGCGCGAGCCUGAACCAGCCAAGUAGCGUGAAGGAUGACUGCCCUACGGGUUGUAAACUUCUUUUAUAAAGGAAUAAAGUGAGGCACGUGUGCCUUUUUGCAUGUACUUUAUGAAUAAGGAUCGGCUAACUCCGUGCCAGCAGCCGCGGUAAUACGGAGGAUCCGAGCGUUAUCCGGAUUUCUUGGGUUUAAAGGGGGCGUAGAUGGGUUGUUAAGUCAGUGGUGAAAGUUUGCGGCUCAACCGUAAAAUUGCAAUUGAUACUGGCGGCCUUGAGUACAGUUGAGGUAGGCGGAAUGCGUGGUGUAGCGGUGAAAUGCUUAGAUAUCACGAAGAACUCCGAUUGCGAAGGCAGCUUACUAAGCUGUGACUGACAUUGAUGCUCGAAAGUGUGGGUAUCGAACAGGAUUAGAUACCCUUGUAGUC